rnacentral:rRNA from 1 species
AUUGAACGCUGUCGGCAGGCCUAACACAUGCAAGUCGAGCGGAGCGUCGGAAGUGUGAGUAAUGCCUAGGCAUCUGCCUGUGAGUGGGGGAUAACGUACGGAAACGGUUGCUAAUAACACAUGCUAUCAGGUCAGUCUCGGUCGAAUUAGCUAGUUGGAGGGGUAACGGCCUACCAAGGCGCCGAUACGUAACUGGUCUGAGAGGAUGAUCAGUAAUACUGGAACUGAGACACGGUCCAGACUCCUACGGGAGGCAGCAGUGGGGAAGAUUGGACAAUUGGCGAAAGCCUGAUCAAGCAAUGCCGCGUGUGUGAAGAAGGUUUUCGGAUUGUAAAGCACUUUUAUUAGGGAGGCGUUACCUACAGAAAAAGCACCGGCUAACUUCGUGCCAGCAGCCUCGGUAAUAC